UACGAAGGGGGCUAGCGUUGCUCGGAAUCACUGGGCGUAAAGGGUGCGUAGGCGGGUCUUUAAGUCAGGGGUGAAAUCCUGGAGCUCAACUCCAGAACUGCCUUUGAUACUGAAGAUCUUGAGUUCGGGAGAGGUGAGUGGAACUGCGAGUGUAGAGGUGAAAUUCGUAGAUAUUCGCAAGAACACCAGUGGCGGAGGCGGCUCACUGGCCCGAUACUGACGCUGAGGCACGAAAGCGUGGGGAGCAAACCGG
rnacentral:rRNA from 1 species